UUCUGAUCCAAGAAGCAAAUUUUACUGUUCAAUCCUUUUGUUGAGGCUUGCAGAAAAACAGGUUAAUCUAUCUUUUGUUCACAUGCCUUGCUACCUAAUUUUACAUGAGCUUUGCUUCACGGAUGUACAUAUUUUUCUUUAUCCUGUAAUGUUGACAGGCUCAUUUUUCUGGUAGUGAAGAAAUGAGAGGAAGUGGAAGGAUAUAAGGUAGCUUCUGCAGAAUCCAAGUAAGACUUUGUUCCUUACCCAUGCUUGAACAAAGAGCAGCACACAACAUGUAUGUUAGUGUUUCAAUUUCAAAUGAGGGAAUUUCAUAUCAUUAAUAGUGGUAACUAAUGAUUUAAAGUAACUUUUAGUUCUGCUAAAAUUAUUUUUCUUUUUUGAAUUUCCACAAAAUGGAAUAGUAAUGAUUUUAAGCUAAAUAAUGAGUUCUCUUUGUGUGUCACUAGGUAAUAGAAGGAAUAAGAAGCAAGUUUUAUAUAUUAUAUGGAAUACUUAUUUUAAAUAGCUAUUGAGUUAUGCCGUGUAGUUUCUUCUUGGUGUGUAUGUUGUUCUUAUGCUAUUUAAUAUGGUGACUAUUUAAUUUACUGUCAUACGGUUAAUUCCUUUGAAAUUCUUGGUCACCUGCUUAGAUAGUGACAAAUAGUGUAUUCUUUAUUAAUUUUUUUGUGCUGCGAUCUUCAUUUAUAUGCAGAACCAAACAUGUGGGUAGCCUAAAAGUACAUUUAAAACGCAAAUCGCCCUAAGAUAUCCCAGUGUGUGGUUUAACCUGAACAUAUCUUAACUUGCAAAUAAGCAUGAUUUUCUUACAACUUGCUUCUAUGAUGUCUCCCUUAUUUGCAUUCUUAAUCAGUAUACUUGGAGUCCACAUCCAAGAUCAAAGCAUCUAGCUCUGUGCACUCAGGUUCUCAGGAGUAUCUCACAAAUGAGUCAUCAUAGGUGAGAGAUGUCUCAUCCAGCCGGACGAUAUUAUUGACCAUUUAAUAGCAGCUGACCAACAGUUUUGGUAAUUAGAGAAGAAGACAAUUCCACAGAAGCAAAGCCAGUGCAUUGGUAGGGAGCUAAAUUAGCAGGCAUGCUACCUAUACUAAAUACAUGUUGUGCUUCAUCUCCCUUCUGUCCUUCUAUGUAUUGAACUCAUUGGCAUCUGAUGUAACCUGUUAAUAUUCUUAAUGAAAUCACCCAUAAUGGGCAUUUUUCUUAAAUAAAAGAUUACAGUAACCAUGACUAAGGCUUCAUAAAGGAUUGUGUCUCCCUUGGUGUUAUUUGCAACAGCUGAGUAGCUCCGGAGAGUGUCAAUGUAUGUGCCCAAACUCAGUAGAACAAGCACUAACGAUAGCAGAACUUGAAAAAUCGAGGAGAUGGCUCAUGGCUGCUCUCACCAUAUAGUUCAAAGGUUCACUAUCCAAUGAUGCUAUUUAUGUUUAGGGUACUUAUUGUAUAACUGGUUAUAACAGAUAUGUUGUUUUAUGAUGACAUAUAUUUAGGAAAGAACAUAUUCAAAUAGAGAAAUUUUGCUGUGUUAGAUUUUUAUUAUUACCAAGUAUAUGAGUUUGCUCUAUCUGGUUGUCUCAAAGUAUAACAGUUAUACGAGAAUAUGAUAAUCAAUUGCAUGUUUGUGAAGAACAGAGCCCUGUAAGUGUGGCAGUAUUGUCUCUUUCUAGAGACAUACUUGACUGCUUAUUAAGUUGUGGGUUGUUUUUUGACAGAUAUAUUUUCUCACUUUCUUACAACAACUUAGUCUCCAGUUAUUGUACAAGUCUGGUGCGCAAGUGUUGUUUCGUUCCAUCUUCAGUUUGAUUAUUGUUUUUUUUUGGUGAGAAAAUUUCUGAUCUAUUCAUCAACUGUCAAGGCAGUACAAUUCCUAUUUUUAUUUUUUAAACAGGGUUCCUAGAUCAAAUUGUCUGGGCUGGGACAAGAAAAGGAACAUGCUCUUGACUGAGCGCGGGCCACGGAGAUGGUGAGGAUGCCGAGCUGUCUGCGGCAUGGUCGUUGCUCCUCCGGACUUGGUAGGAGGAGUGAGGAGGUCGAUCCAUCCUCGGCUUCGUCGUCGUCGUGCAUCCGUCAAGAGAUGCUCGCGCGCCGGGAGACGAAUCCACAUCUGCUCCUGCUCGACUGCUUCCAAAUCGAGUGACGCAUGCUUCUGCUUGCUAUGGAGGCCGCUGCUCUGAUCCGCUCCAACUGCCAGCGAUGUUCCUCCUCAAGGUCAAGGUUGGUACCCAUAUUUGCUUCAGUUUGCUCUUCCCCCUCUCACUUACCUUCCCUCUCAUGCAUGCGCUUGGUUUCUUCCUCACGCAGGCAGGCUGGGUGGGCUCCUCGUCGGCGUCGGCUUUCCCUGCCUGCCACUGCUUUCUGAUGGAGCGGACCUUUGGAUGCUCCUGUGCCUCUGGUGGUGGGCUAGGUAACUCUCUUUCUUUAAUGUGCUCGUGGUCAUCUUUAUGCACUUCAAGCAGGGGGGCAAGCAGCUAGACUGAAUACGAAUCUCCUUGCAGUGUUUUACUAAAAGAAAAAUCAUAACAACAUUACAAAUAGUAAGUUGUUUCUCACUGACAAAACAUCAGUUUAAUUUGAUGGUUCGACACCGAUUUGCACUACUUGAGAAAUUAUUAGGAUUUACAAACUAAACUGGACAUUAUAAACAGCAAGCAAAAAAACAUGUCAUAGAACCACCCCUUGUUGUUCCAUGUAGAAAACUGAAACUAUAACCAUGUACUCCCUCUGUACAGAAAUAUAAGAGUGUUUAGAUCACUACUUGCCCAAGCAACACCAACAUAGAUAUGGGGGAGGAAGAGGAGACCUGGAUGGCACGUUCCGUCUCCCAUAAGUGACUGCGAUGGGAGGAUCAUGUCUCCGACAUCCUCCUGCAAGCCUGCAACUGCUGCCUGCCCUAGCAACGUAAUAAGGCGAGCCUCCCGCCCCACAACUUAUGGGAGCAAGAACUAGAGAUAAAAUAUGAUAACAAAUGUUUACCAAUAUAAUUAUGAUGUUGCCUGGGCAGUGAAGGUACUGGUGCCCGUGCGACGCAUCAUUGUUGUAAUGGAAAAUAGCAUAAUUUAGACGCCUAAUUUGUAGUUGUGCAAGUUGUAUCCUUUUUGAGGUGGAGCAACUUUGUGGUCUGCUAAUUUAGAGAGACUGGUUGGCCUUCAAUUAUUUGUGUCGUUGCUUGAUCCUACUAGCUCAGUGUGCAUUGGUUGUUUAAUUGUUUCCUGUUUAUACCCCCUACACGCACUAACCUUUUUAUCUAGCACUAAUGGUAUUUAUUUUAUCACAGGCUGGAACUGCUCUGUUGGAUCCUUACCUUUCUUUUGCAGUGACACUGAAUGGUUUGGCUGGUCCACAACACAGUCUCAGGUAAUCUUGAUUUUACAUGGUGAAUGUUCUAUGUUGCAUCAUGAUCAACCUGUGCUUGCCAAAUGGAUCUCCUUAAACAAAUUCUUCCUAAUAAAUUGCAAAAGUCCUAAUGGAGAAAAAUUAUGUUCGUGCCCUUCUAAAAUGAUGUAUGUACUUAUUGGCUUUGCGAGUUCCUCGCAGAUUGUGCUUUUCAUUCUUAUGUAGCAAUGCAUCACUUCUCUAGGUGAAAAAAUGAUAGAAACAAAUGCUCGGUUUAAAUAUGUUAGAUCCUUGAUUCAUUGCUAAGGUGUGCAAUUUAUUUUGGAUAGGGAUGGAUGGUCAAGUUGUAUAUGGCUUCCACCAUGUACGAGAUGAAAAGCCAUAUCUUGCUCAAGGACCAGUUGCAAAUAAGGUGCCGAAAGAAAUUCUUUAAUGGUGUAAUAUGUAGCGGCUUAAUGCUUUAAUGUAUGUCAUUGUUAAGUGAUAUCUUUAUGGAAGCCCAUAGUAAUUUACUGAAAUGUUUUGGUGAGGAGCUUAGCAUUCAGAAUGUGCUGGUUAGCAACAUCUUCAUUAGUUAAGUUGUCUUCUAUCAGUAGGAUAUAAGUAUGGCAGACUCAUAGAUCACGUGAUGUUGCACACAUAUGAAAGAACUCAUGCACCCAAGUUGUCCCAUAUUAUUAUUAUGUGGAUCCAGCUGUAUACUUGAUAGAUAAGCUGGAUGUGCAAGUUUUCUAGAAUAUGUAACUUCUGAAUAACAAGAAACUGGUUUCAAACGCUCCUUUUCAUUUGCUGUAUCAUAGUUAUCUAGUACCUAAGAAUUCUAUGUCGUGGAAGGUAAUGUCAAAAUACGUUUUUUUUGUGAUGAGCGCAAUUAAGAGUGUCAACACAAUAUUAAAACUAGAUUAAACAUUAGCUCUGACCAGAUGGCAAUAUAUUUUGUCAUAUUACAGGGCAGUUAAAGAGUGGAUGCCCAACUGCUCUGAUGUAGGCCGCUCCGAAUCAAUUAUCCGAUAUAUGGCGUCUCUUGAAGGUAACUAAGAAACCUGCGACGCAGUUUUUGUUGUGCCUGCAUUAUUUGCUAUGCCAGAAUACUUUCCAUUACCCAGUUCUACUUUGGUAUUUCCUUCUGCAUCGGCUUAUUAGAUUUCAACCUUACAUGUUCAUCUUGGAAAAGAUCUUACAUCAUAAUUUGGUGUCUCCGUUCAGUUCUAAUCAAUAAAAAAAAUUGUUGUUUCUUGUAAUGAUGAACAUUUUAUAGUUGUAGCAUAAUUAGAUGAUGAUAUUGUUAAAGGUUAACUGAUUUAUGAACAUACUUCCAUUAUUAUUCUGCAUAUUGCCAUUUCUUUUACUGUAUACACAACUUUCAAAAGUUGGCUAGGUAAUUGGUUCACACGUAGUGUGCAGUGACAUACCUCAUGCAAAUAUAAUCCACGAUAUUGUCUAUUUCUAUUGUGUGCUCACAUGACCACCGGAAUAUUUCACUAAUUUAUAUGCUUAGGCAGGUUCACUGGAUGAUAUGCAUCAUGGAUCGUAGGUACUAUUUGGUUUAGUUUAAUACAAUCUGCUGAUAUUAAGGUAUAAUAACUGAAAACUUCCAGAGGUUAAUGGGAAGGCAGAACUGAUAAGCAUAAGCAUAAGCAGCUAGAAAUGUUUUGUCUGCUUGUGAACAGAUAAAGCCAAAAAAGAAUGUGCGUUAUGAGUAUAAAAAUAGCACGCCAUAUGAGUAUAAGUAAGAAUACUAAUGAGCUUUCGCUCAUGCUUAUGAACUGAUCCAUCUACUUAUAUAGAAUGAUGAGAUGUGAUCAUGCACGUGCACUAUCCAAUUUCUUACUACUAAUUAGAUAAGUUCAGCUAUAACGGAGUAUAAGUAAGAAUACUAAUAAGUUCAGCUAUAAAAAUAGCACGCCAUAUGAGUAUAAGUAAGAAUACUAAUGAGCUUUCGCUCAUGCUUAUGAACUGAUCCAUCUACUUAUAUAGAAUGAUGAGAUGUGAUCAUGCACGUGCACUAUCCAAUUUCUUACUACUAAUUAGAUAAGUUCAGCUAUAACGGAGUUGGUAUCAUGCCCUUUUACAUUGUGUACAUUGUUUGGUGUUCAAGAUAAAAUCAUGAUGUUUUUUUCUCAUUUGAAUGUGAAUGACAUGAUGCGUGUUUCUGUGCUCGUUGGUCCUCUUUUGUCCUGACCAUUAUGAAUUUAUAGCAUUUCAUAUAUACAUAAUUAAUUUUUCCCAUUUAGAUAUCAUAUGAUUUUCCUUCUACCAAUACUACUAUUUAUGGUCUCAUGCCUCUCUGUCAGGAUUCUCAGUGGUCUCAUGCCUCUCUGUCAGGAUUCUCCCAAUUUGAAAGAGGUACACAAACGUUACUUUCUUUGUCAGGGUUUGUCUACAUUUAUCUUUAAGGCUACAACCUGGAGUCUCAUGGGGGUGUGGAGAUGAUACCUAAGUAAUCUAGGGCAUUGCUUUGUUAGGGGUUCACUUAUGUACAAGAAUGGCAUGUUCUUUCUUGUGUAAUAUAUCGUGGGUUUUUUUCUGCUCAACACCAUCUAGACUAUGUAUCAUUGUAACCUGCUUUAUGGUUUGGACCUGAGCGCUGGAGCAUGGUGCUGGACAGGGAACGAGUCCCUAAGACCGCUCUUUGGAAUUCCAAUAUAGAUGAAGAUAGAAGUGAAAUUUGAGGGCCAACAAAUAUGUUGUAUCGUGGAUGUCCCCCUUUACAUCAUUGUUUUAUGAAAUGCACUAACGCUCCUGGAAGGUUGUUCUGAGUAUAUUUGUAUAUUUUUUACAACAAGUAUGAUUUGGUGUGAAGUUAUCCAAUGUCGUGUGAUGAACCUUGAUGUUUAGUAUUGAAUCAUUAGUAAGUGUUUAGUAACCUGCUUUUUUAGAUGUUACCUUUGUAGCGGAGUUGUUUUUGGCAUAACUUUAAUCUAUAUUGGGCAGUUGCCUUGCUUAUGCAUGGAUGUGCUGCAAACUUUGUUUUAGAUUAGGACAUUGCUCUCUCAUGUUCGCCCUCUUGGUACUGAACUGGAUGGAAGUGGUU
rnacentral:lncRNA from 1 species